CUGGUGUAGGCAAAUGUCUGAGCCCUUCUGGAUGAACUCAGGGCGUCCCUGAGAACUGUGGACCUGGCACAGACCUCUGCAGGGUGUAAGCCUGCUCUGGGGUGAGCUUUCGUUCACUGUGGAGCAGAAAAUGCUUCUAUGAGCGUCAAUUCACUGUGUCCUGGCUGGCCUCAGGCCUCAGAGAUAUCCUGCAGAGCAUGGGGAAGCCUUACGGCCAUGGGCUUCUCUGCUAAGACCUGGUGACGUCAUGCUGGCUGGAAGCUGACAAUUGAAGUCAAUUCACUCUCCAAAAUUGCUGCACCCCUGCUGCGUGCUAAGCUCAUUAAAGUUGAAUGAGCUAA